UAGGGAAUAUUGGGCAAUGGACGGAAGUCUGACCCAGCCACGCCGCGUGCAGGAGGAAGGCGCUCUGCGUUGUAAACUGCUUUAGCAGGGGAAGAAAAGACUCAUGCGUGAGGAAUUGACGGUACCCUGAGAAUAAGCACCGGCUAACUACGUGCCAGCAGCCGCGGUAAUACGUAGGGUGCAAGCGUUGUCCGGAUUUAUUGGGUUUAAAGGGUGCGUAGGCGGUCUAUUAAGUCAGUGUUUAAAUUUUGCAGCUUAACUGUAGGUAUGGCAUUGAUACUGGUGGACUUGAAUAUCAUGGAGGUAGCUAGAAUUUAUGGUGUAGCGGUGAAAUGCAUAGAUACCAUAAGGAACACCGAUAGCGGAGGCAGGUUGCCACGUGAUGAUUGACGCUGAGGCACGAAAGCGUGGGGAUCAAACA
rnacentral:rRNA from 1 species